rnacentral:rRNA from 1 species
UACGUAGGGUGCAAGCGUUGUCCGGAAUUAUUGGGCGUAAAGAGCUCGUAGGCGGUCUGUCGCGUCUGCUGUGAAAACUCAGGGCUUAACCCUGAGCUUACAGUGGGUACGGGCAGACUAGAGUGCGGUAGGGGAGACUGGAAUUCCUGGUGUAGCGGUGGAAUGCGCAGAUAUCAGGAGGAACACCGGUGGCGAAGGCGGGUCUCUGGGCAGUAACUGACGCUGAGGAGCGAAAGCGUGGGGAGCGAACAGG